rfam:Streptococcus agalactiae LMG 14747 ctg7180000010240, whole genome shotgun sequence.
CGCAUGUGCAAAGCGCUGGGCUGAUAACCCAGAGAUGGAGGUUCGAAUCCUCUACUUGUGG